rnacentral:lncRNA from 1 species
AUGAUUCCAGAUGAUCACACGCUUGGAUCCAGGCUUGUUUCCAGCUUUUCUAACGUGAUUUGCGAAGUUCGUAUAGGUCUUCGUUUGUGUCUCACUGGUCCACGGUCUCUUCUAGACCCAGACGUCCUCCUUUCCCUGCACAAAGAGAUAAUACCAGGGAUGAUGGGAGUCUGCUGUUUUGGCCAAUCCAAUGUUUGCCCUGGCCCCAGAGAAGAGGAGCCGGAGACCAGGGCAAUGACACUUCAGCCAGCAGUCAGAGAGGUUGCACUGGAACUGCAGAAGAAAACAUUCCGCUGAAAGCCAGUUCUUCUUCUGCUGUUCGUCAUGUGGAUGGGGGACCAGCUAGAGAGGACAGCUGAAGUCCUCACACAUGACCAGUGGCUGCAGGCCUAACACUGUGGACAAUCUUUUUUCCUUUUUAACCAUAAAAACAAUGGUUAGCAUUAUGGUGCCAGAGAACCUACAGGUUACGGUGUUAAUUCACGGUGCUCAAUAUUCUCACGGUGGAGCCAGCAUAACUCUUACCUUAUGCAGUAUGUUGUGAAUGUGGUCAUCAUCUCACCUAUGAGUUCUCUCGGUUGUACUAUGGCAGUCAUAAUAGGUUUUACGUAUUGUAGAAUUGUCCUGUUAAUUAUGCCACUGUUUUUGCUCCAUUUAUUGGACAUGUUUGUGCCAUGAAAGUACAGUAUCAACCUAUGAAGUGGGUCCUACACUGAGGCCAAAGUCUGGCUGUAUCUACUGACAGAAAACACCCAUCCAAAUGUUUUCAGGUUCAUGGUGAAGCUGUGUGAUGUUUGACCUUUUUUUCUUUUGCUUUAGCGGAUUUUAGUGCCUUAGAUGAAUGAUUUUGACAACUGCACUAUCUGUAGCUAAAGAAAACGGCGCAGACCGGUUUCUACUCUCUUGUACUGUAGGCUAUGAAGUUUGUAAUAAAACUGAAGGAAUUACAACA